rnacentral:rRNA from 1 species
AGUGAACGCUGGCGGUAGGCCUAACACAUGCAAGUCGAACGGCAGCACAGUAAGAGCUUGCUCUUACGGGUGGCGAGUGGCGGACGGGUGAGGAAUACAUCGGAAUCUACUUUUUCGUGGGGGAUAACGUAGGGAAACUUACGCUAAUACCGCAUACGACCUACGGGUGAAAGCAGGGGAUCUUCGGACCUUGCGCGAUUGGAUGAGCCGAUGUCGGAUUAGCUAGUUGGCGGGGUAAAGGCCCACCAAGGCGACGAUCCGUAGCUGGUCUGAGAGGAUGAUCAGCCACACUGGAACUGAGACACGGUCCAGACUCCAACGGGAGGCAGCAGUGGGGAAUAUUGGACAAUGGGCGCAAGCCUGAUCCAGCCAUACCGCGUGGGUGAAGAAGGCCUUCGGGUUGUAAAGCCCUUUUGUUGGGAAAGAAAAGCAGCAGGUUAAGACCCCGCUGUUCUGACGGUACCCAAAGAAUAAGCACCGGCUAACUUCGU